UUUUCUUCUUAUCUUCGUUAUUCUGUUCCAUUUGGCAUUGCUGCCAUUCGAUAUCUGUCACAUGGAAAGCUUUGCCAUUGAAAUGUCAAUAUUGUUUUGUAAAAAAAUUUGGUAUUUUGCAUCGAAUGCACUCAGCGAAAAUCGAACAAAAAUCGGCUUUAAGUGUUGCAACAACAAAAUAUUUUCAUUUGACUCUCAAAAUCUUUGACAUGCAACAGCAAUCAAAAGCGAAGGGUGGCAAGGGGCAAAUCAGAUGGAAGGCGGGCAAGGGCACACGGAAAUGGUCCUGUGGUUGACCGGGAGCCGAAGCUAGGACGCCAUUUUGUGGGCUGUCUUGUGGUGUCGCCUGAAAUUGGCCAACAAACACGGCAACAAGCACGAGCAGACCGAAAAGGGAACAUCCGACUGAGCGAGAGGACGAGCGAGCCGGAGAGAGAGAAAGAGAGGGAGACACGCAAAAAAAAAAAAAAAAAAAAAAAACAAACGUCGAAAUCCAAUUCAAAAUGCCAUCAGACAUUCUAAUUUCAUUCAUUUCUCAAUACAAUCAACUGAGCGAGAGGCUGGCCUGUUGGUUGCCUGGAUAGAACAAAGUCCCCAAAUUUACUUCCUUAUGUCACAUAAAUUCUGAUUGUGAUAAAGCGAAACAGCAACGGCAAUAGCAACAACAACUAAAUCGGAUAUGCAGCAAACAGUUUUUUAGUUCACAUCGGCAUAAAUUGCGGCAACAAAUUGAAUUUUGCUUUAUUGCCAGCAUGGGCACAUGACCCUCGCCUGUGACCUUUUCUGCAAUCGCUUACCGUUAACUGACGUGCCGUUAUCUAUGGAAUGUAAGCUGAAAGAACUAUAAGAAGAACCUGCUGUGGCAUGUCCUUGCUUUGUUGUUGGAGUGAAACUAUCAUUUCCUGAUUUUGGGUGAACAUUGCCAGCUCUUUGAAUACGAAAUGAAAUAUGGGUCUGAGUUCUUGAAUCAAUCGACUUAAUGCUGAAAAGAAUACAAAAGAAAACUGUAAAAUAAAUUAUUAGAUAUAUGAAAUCGA